GUGGAUUAGAUACCCUGGUAGUCCACGCCGUAAACGAUGAGUGCUAGGUGUUAGACCCUUUCCGGGGUUUAGUGCCGUAGCUAACGCAUUAAGCACUCCGCCUGGGGAGUACGACCGCAAGGUUGAAACUCAAAGGAAUUGACGGGGGCCCGCACAAGCGGUGGAGCAUGUGGUUUAAUUCGAAGCAACGCGAAGAACCUUACCAGGUCUUGACAUCCCUCUGACCGCUCUAGAGAUAGAGCUUUCCUUCGGGACAGAGGUGACAGGUGGUGCACGGUUGUCGACAGCU
rnacentral:rRNA from 1 species